rnacentral:rRNA from 1 species
UACGGGGGGGGCAAGCGUUGUUCGGAAUUACUGGGCGUAAAGGGCUCGUAGGCGGCCAACUAAGUCGGACGUGAAAUCCCUCGGCUUAACCGGGGAACUGCGUCCGAUACUGGAUGGCUUGAGUUUGGGAGAGGGAUGCGGAAUUCCAGGUGUAGCGGUGAAAUGCGUAGAUAUCAGGAGGAACACCAGCGGCGAAGGCGGCGCUCUGGGCCGGAACUGACGCUGAGGAGCGAAAGCGUGGGUAGCAAACAGG